GUUGAACGCUGGCGGCAGGCCUAACACAUGCAAGUCGAGCGGAUGAAGGGAGCUUGCUCCUGGAUUCAGCGGCGGACGGGUGAGUAAUGCCUAGGAAUCUGCCUGGUAGUGGGGGAUAACGUCCGGAAACGGGCGCUAAUACCGCAUACGUCCUGAGGGAGAAAGUGGGGGAUCUUCGGGCCUCACGCUAUCAGAUGAGCCUAGGUCGGAUUAGCUAGUUGGUGGGGUAAAGGCCUACCAAGGCGACGAUCCGUAACUGGUCUGAGAGGAUGAUCAGUCACACUGGAACUGAGACACGGUCCAGACUCCUACGGGAGGCAGCAGUGGGGAAUAUUGGACAAUGGGCGAAAGCCUGAUCCAGCCAUGCCGCGUGUGUGAAGAAGGUCUUCGGAUUGUAAAGCACUUUAAGUUGGGAGGAAGGGCAGUAAGUUAAUACCUUGCUGUUUUGACGUUACCAACAGAAUAAGCACCGGCUAACUUCGUG
rnacentral:rRNA from 1 species